rnacentral:tRNA from 1 species
GGGCCGUUAGCUCAGCUGGUAGAGCAGUUGACUUUUAAUCAAUUGGUCGCUGGUUCGAAUCCAGCACGGCCCACCA